AUUGAACGCUGGCGGCAGGCUUAACACAUGCAAGUCGAGCGGGGAAAGGUAGCUUGCUACCUGACCUAGCGGCGGACGGGUGAGUAAUGCUUAGGAAUCUGCCUAUUAGUGGGGGACAACAUUCCGAAAGGAAUGCUAAUACCGCAUACGCCCUACGGGGGAAAGCAGGGGAUCUUCGGACCUUGCGCUAAUAGAUGAGCCUAAGUCAGAUUAGCUAGUUGGUGGGGUAAAGGCCUACCAAGGCGACGAUCUGUAGCGGGUCUGAGAGGAUGAUCCGCCACACUGGGACUGAGACACGGCCCAGACUCCUACGGGAGGCAGCAGUGGGGAAUAUUGGACAAUGGGCGAAAGCCUGAUCCAGCCAUGCCGCGUGUGUGAAGAAGGCCUUUUGGUUGUAAAGCACUUUAAGCGAGGAGGAGGCUACUUAGAUUAAUACUCUAGGAUAGUGGACGUUACUCGCAGAAUAAGCACCGGCUAACUCUGUGCCAGCAGCCGCGGUAAGAC
rnacentral:rRNA from 1 species